CAAAAAUGAGUUGAGACAUGAACCAACGACAACCACUAAACUGCAGGCUCCUGACUUGGGACAGGUUCAUAAAGAAUAUGGCAGGGGUUGAUAUUAAAACGAAGAUGUGGUAUGAUUGCCAAUGAGACAAUUUCUGACAAGAGACUAAAUGACGCAGCAAUUAACAGCCAUAUAUCACCAUAUGCUCUUCAACAAUAAGCAUAAUAAAAUUGAGAAAGGACAUGGGGAAUGUGUCAAAGAGACAACAUUUCACAUACUCAGCUAUAAAAGGCCC
rnacentral:lncRNA from 1 species